rnacentral:rRNA from 1 species
GAUGAACGCUGGCGGCGUGCUUAACACAUGCAAGUCGAACGGAAAGGCCCAAGCUUGCUUGGGUACUCGAGUGGCGAACGGGUGAGUAACACGUGGGUGAUCUGCCCUGCACUUCGGGAUAAGCCUGGGAAACUGGGUCUAAUACCGGAUAGGACCACUUCUUGGAUGUUGUGGUGGAAAGUUUUUUCGGUGUGGGAUGAGCUCGCGGCCUAUCAGCUUGUUGGUGGGGUAAUGGCCUACCAAGGCGUCGACGGGUAGCCGGCCUGAGAGGGUGUACGGCCACAUUGGGACUGAGAUACGGCCCAGCCUCCUACGGGAGGCAGCAGUGGGGAAUAUUGCACAAUGGGCGCAAGCCUGAUGCAGCGACGCCGCGUGGGGGAUGACGGCCUUCGGGUUGUAAACUCCUUUCGCUAGGGACGAAGCGUUUUGUGACGGUACCUGGAGAAGAAGCACCGGCUAACUACGUG